rnacentral:rRNA from 1 species
AUUGAACGCUGGCGGCAGGCCUAACACAUGCAAGUCGAGCGGAUGAAGGGAGCUUGCUCCUGGAUUCAGCGGCGGACGGGUGAGUAAUGCCUAGGAAUCUGCCUGGUAGUGGGGGAUAACGUCCGGAAACGGGCGCUAAUACCGCAUACGUCCUGAGGGAGAAAGUGGGGGAUCUUCGGACCUCACGCUAUCAGAUGAGCCUAGGUCGGAUUAGCUAGUUGGUGGGGUAAAGGCCUACCAAGGCGACGAUCCGUAACUGGUCUGAGAGGAUGAUCAGUCACACUGGAACUGGGACACGGUCCAGACUCCUACGGGAGGCAGCAGUGGGGAAUAUUGGACAAUGGGCGAAAGCCUGAUCCAGCCAUGCCGCGUGUGUGAAGAAGGUCUUCGGAUUGUAAAGCACUUUAAGUUGGGAGGAAGGGCAGUAAGUUAAUACAUUGCUGUUUUGACGUUACCAACAGAAUAAGCACCGGCUAACUUCGUG